GGGGCGGGCACCCGGAGGCGGCCCAGGCGGGGGUCUCCCCCGGGGCCUGGGGCGGGCCGAAGAUGUCCAGGCCUGGCCGGAGCCGCCUCCUGAUUGACGAGGCCCGCAUGGGAGUGCGGACGUGCAGCACAGAUUUGCGGGUCUCCUGGGCCUCUUGGGCGGUGAUCAGCGCGGACCUUGGGCCAACCGGGGAAGCAGGCCGGAGCACUACCCCCCACCCCCAUUUUAGAACAUCCUUCUGAGGGCUUCGCUGACCUCGGCUUGAACUCCUUCAGAGCCGGAGAGAUCACUCCUUCCACCACCGAGGGAGAGGAGGCAAAAUGAAUUUGCCAGCUUUGAAUUCAUUCUCAAGGCUCCGCUAGUCUCACAGCCAGUGAACUCAGUCUGGAAUUCCUGAAAGCUCAGAAAACUGCUGCUUAGGUGGCAGCUGAGCAUCCCUGGAGAGGGUGGGUGGUAUGAAAGCACUUCCAGACCUCUAGGGACACCAGGGAGUCAUGGUCCCAGCACAUUGCUGUGUGAUUGAGCCCCUCCUCAGCCUGUGGGUGGCCUAAGUUCACAGGGAGGUAAUGGGGUAGAUUGGAUACCUCUGGGGUCUUGGAAGAAGCUAUGACUUAUUUACUGUCUACUAUGUGAGUUUUGGGCAUCCUUCUAUCAGCCCUUAUCCCAGGGCAGGAAGAACAGCCUUGAUCCUGGAUCCCAGGCACAGCUGGGUGUCAGACCUGGAGGAGAAGCUCCCAGAGUGACCAAGAUAGAAUCGGCAUGCAGCUGAAGCCACUUGCUCAGAGCCGCACAGCAAGCCCACCACCCUGAACCUCCAGAUUACCAACUCAGCAUUGUGUCCUGACAGUGUCAUCAUAGAUGGUCAACACCGUCACCUGGGCAGCACUGAAGCCCAGAGCGGGAGAGACUGGCUCAAGACCAUGGGGCAGGCUCGACCCAGCUAAGGAACACAGCUUCCUGAAGCAUCUGUCCUGGGCCGUUGGCCCUUCUGUGGACAGGGCUUGAGCUCUGUAGGCUGGAUUUGAAUUUCAAGUCCUCCUGCUGUGUGACCUUGAACAAGUUACUUAGCCUCUCUGAGCAUCAAAUGGCUUAACUAUCAAAUAAGAAGCACAGAGAAGUCCCCAAGAGCCAGUAGACUCUGGAGGCUGUGAGACCGGGGACUGGGGCUCCUGCAUCCUUAAUGAAGGUUUCAGUCUUGAGUCGCGUCUGGGAGACCUGCUGAAGCAAUGGGGAGCUACUGUAGUGCCUGCCUCAUGGGAUUGCAGGGACCAAAG
rnacentral:lncRNA from 1 species